rnacentral:rRNA from 1 species
CGGGACGGGUGAGUAACGCGUGGAUAACCUGCCUCACAUUGGGGAGUAACAGUUAGAAAUGGCUGCUAAUACCGCAUAAGCGCACAGUACCGCAUGGUACGGUGUGAAAAACCCAGGUGGUGUGAGAUGGAUCCGCGUCUGAUUAGCCAGUUGGCGGGGUAACGGCCCACCAAAGCGACGAUCAGUAGCCGACCUGAGAGGGUGACCGGCCACAUUGGGACUGAGACACGGCCCAA